CAACCAACUGAGCCACCCAGGCAUCCCUACAGAGACUUUUAAUAUGAAUGUAAAACUGAGUGGCUAUUCAGCGGCUGAUACCUAGAGUUGAAUGCCCAUAAGUCCGCUGGGACCCUGGGGAGCCCCAGACCUGAACCCUACGGGUGCUCUGAUCAC